rfam:Myotis davidii contig154787, whole genome shotgun sequence.
GGCGGUUCUCUGGUGACACACCCUGGAAUCGGGCUCCCUCCUCUCUUGUGCGUCACCCGAGAACCACA